rnacentral:rRNA from 1 species
GUGUCAGCAGCCGCGGUAAAACCAGCUCUUCAAGUGGUCGGGACUCUUAUUGGGCUUAAAGCGUCCGUAGCCGGUUUGGUAAGUUCCUGGUUAAAUCUAAUAGCUUAACUAUUAGUUAGCUAGGAAUACUGCCUUACUAGAGGGUGGGAAAGGUCUGAGGUACUCCAGGGGUAGCGGUGAAAUGCGAUGAUCCUUGGGGGACCACCAGUGGCGAAAGCGUCAGACUGGAACACGCCUGACGGUGAGGGACGAAAGCCAGGGGAGCGAACGGGAUUAGAUACCCCGGUAGUCCUGGCCGUAAACGAUGCGCGCUAGGUGUUGGUAUGGCUUUGAGCCAUAUCAGUGCCGUAGGGAAACUGUUAAGCGCGCCGCCUGGGAAGUACGCUCGCAAGAGUGAAACUCAAAUGAAUUGACGGGG